CUUGAAGUGGAGCCCAGGGACACCAUCGAAAAUGUGAAGGCCAAGAUCCAGGAUAAGGAAGGCAUUACCCCGGACCAGCAGAGGCUCAUCUUUGCAGCAAGCAGCUGGAAGAUGGCCGCACUCUUUCUGACUACAACAUCCAGAAAGAGUCAACCCUGCACCUGGUCCUGCACCUGAGGGGUGGCUGUUAAUUCUCCAGUCUUGCAU
rnacentral:lncRNA from 1 species